UACGUAGGUGGCAAGCGUUGUCCGGAAUUAUUGGGCGUAAAGCGCGCGCAGGCGGUCCUUUAAGUCUGAUGUGAAAUCCCGUGGCUUAACCACGGGCGGUCAUUGGAAACUGGGGGGACUUGAGUGCAGAAGAGAAGAGCGGAAUUCCACGUGUAGCGGUGAAAUGCGUAGAGAUGUGGAGGAACACCAGUGGCGAAGGCGGCUCUUUGGUCUGUAACUGACGCUGAGGCGCGAAAGCGUGGGGGAGCGAACGG
rnacentral:rRNA from 1 species